GGUCCUGUAGUGUAGUGGUUAUCACAGCGGAUUCUGAUCACUCGGAGUCUUCCGCUAACCCAGGUUCGAGUCCUGGCAGGACCU
rfam:Peniophora sp. CONT PENSPscaffold_69_Cont117, whole genome shotgun sequence.